GAAUUGAAAUUGGAGGUUUGGGGUUUGGAACGUGAAAAAUAAAUAGGACCUGGACAGAAACCCCACCCAAUCAUUUUGCUCGGAUCAUUCGACUGCUGGGUACAUUUAGGUACUGGGCUGCAGAAUCAUUUAAAGAAAGCAGGAUCUGGCUGCCAUCACCAGGGCACAGGGGAGUUACCAAGGAAGAAGAGGACUCAUACGAGGGGCAGUGUUAGCUUACUUCUGAAGUGGUACCAGCUCUGUGGAUAAGUUCCCAGCAAUUCUUAAGAAGGAUAAAGGACCAUUCUUACCUUGGAAAAACAAGUUUGCCAGGCAGAGACAAGCGAGGGACAUCUCGGCCAACAUUUGGUCCUAGAUGAAGCUUCCGGGAUAGAACAUCAAGGGGAUUAUCAGCUGGCUGUGUGGCCACUUUCACCAUGACAUUGCUAUUAAAGAUGUAAGCAGAAAAAAAGACCUGCAGAGAAGAAAAAAAUGAUGAGCUACCCACGCACCAUCAUUUACGCUACCUACUCCCUCUGUCAUUACUCAAACAGAUUUUGCCGGGUGCUGAAAGCAGACACUUUGAAUAUAGGAGUCACGUUGGAAACUCUCGAAAUGGAUUUCACUUUCAGGUGCUUGCUACUCCCUUCCCAAGACCGCUAUAUUAACUUCUAGCUGAUUCUUUCAAGGAAUGAGAUUCACAGUGAAAACCUAACCUCCUUUAUCCUUACGCACUACACAAGGAGCAAUGAAUGUCUUGACACUACACAGGAUUGAUCUGGACAAUCUCACUGAAGUCUGCAGAAAAGGAGCAAACACAAGUGAGUCCCUCCUACGCUUCUGAUUGUGUUAAGUGGAAGAUAAAAUGCCUUAUCACAAGGGCUGUCAUCAGUUUAAUGGGUAAAAGAUGUAACACUUGCCUGAACUCCUUUAAACGCACAUGGCUCAGAACUUUCCAGGAGGUCAGAUUUUAGACAUUGCCGGGUAGGAAGAGAAUGAUGCAUGCGUGGCUAAUUAAAAAUAAAAGACAGCAGGUAUUUUCAGGAAAACAGAAGCUUACCCAAAAGACAUCAUAAAUUAGAAGCCCUGAGAGCAGCAAACAGGAAACCUUGAGGCUUGGCAGCCGGACGAAGGCAAUCAUAGCAACGCAGAGGCCCAUGGCCAGAGCUGGAAAACAAGAAGGCAACACUGUUUGGUUAGCAAACUAGUCUACCGUGGAAGCACCCAAGGAUCACUCAAGCAGCUAGCUGGUGCUUUGGAUAUUAAAUACAAUAUCUUGCUAAGGGAUCAGAGGAUAGAGUUUUGUUUGUGGGAAACAGAAACAGAGUAUUAAGUUAAAAUCAGAUGUGCCUUUUUUGUCCAAAGCCCAAUUUCAAUAAAGAUGACGGAUUCUAUCGGUGCGA